GACGAACGCUGGCGGCGUGCUUAACACAUGCAAGUCGAACGGAAAGGCCCUGCUUUUGUGGGGUGCUCGAGUGGCGAACGGGUGAGUAACACGUGAGUAACCUGCCCUUGACUUUGGGAUAACUUCAGGAAACUGGGGCUAAUACCGGAUAGGAGCUCCUGCUGCAUGGUGGGGGUUGGAAAGUUUCGGCGGUUGGGGAUGGACUCGCGGCUUAUCAGCUUGUUGGUGGGGUAGUGGCUUACCAAGGCUUUGACGGGUAGCCGGCCUGAGAGGGUGACCGGCCACAUUGGGACUGAGAUACGGCCCAGACUCCUACGGGAGGCAGCAGUGGGGAAUAUUGCACAAUGGGCGGAAGCCUGAUGCAGCAACGCCGCGUGCGGGAUGACGGCCUUCGGGUUGUAAACCGCUUUCGCCUGUGACGAAGCGUGAGUGACGGUAAUGGGUAAAGAAGCACCGGCUAACUACGUGCCAGCAGCCGCGGUGAUACGUAGGGUGCGAGCGUUGUCCGGAUUUAUUGGGCGUAAAGGGCUCGUAGGUGGUUGAUCGCGUCGGAAGUGUAAUCUUGGGGCUUAACCCUGAGCGUGCUUUCGAUACGGGUUGACUUGAGGAAGGUAGGGGAGAAUGGAAUUCCUGGUGGAGCGGUGGAAUGCGCAGAUAUCAGGAGGAACACCAGUGGCGAAGGCGGUUCUCUGGGCCUUUCCUGACGCUGAGGAGCGAAAGCGUGGGGAGCGAACAGGCUUAGAUACCUUGGUAGUCCACGCUGUAAACGGUGGGUACUAGGUGUGGGGUCCAUUCCACGGGUUCCGUGCCGUAGCUAACGCUUUAAGUACCCCGCCUGGGGAGUACGGCCGCAAGGCUAAAACUCAAAGGAAUUGACGGGGCCCCGCACAAGCGGCGGAGCAUGCGGAUUAAUUCGAUGCAACGCGUAGAACCUUACCUGGGUUUGACAUGGAUCGGGAGUGCUCAGAGAUGGGUGUGCCUCUUUUGGGGUCGGUUCACAGGUGGUGCAUGGCUGUCGUCAGCUCGUGUCGUGAGAUGUUGGGUUAAGUCCCGCAACGAGCGCAACCCUUGUUCACUGUUGCCAGCACGUUAUGGUGGGGACUCAGUGGAGACCGCCGGGGUCAACUCGGAGGAAGGUGGGGAUGACGUCAAGUCAUCAUGCCCCUUAUGUCCAGGGCUUCACGCAUGCUACAAUGGCUGGUACAGAGAGUGGCGAGCCUGUGAGGGUGAGCGAAUCUCGGAAAGUCGGUCUCAGUUCGGAUUGGGGUCUGCAACUCGACCUCAUGAAGUCGGAGUCGCUAGUAAUCGCAGAUCAGCAACGCUGCGGUGAAUACGUUCCCGGGGGCU
rnacentral:rRNA from 1 species